rnacentral:tRNA from 1 species
GGAGACGUGGCGGAGUGGUUGAACGCGCCCGCUUGGAAAGCGGGUAGGCCUCGCAAGGGGCCUCGGGGGUUCGAAUCCCCCCGUCUCCG